UAACUGGAGAGUUUGAUUCUGGCUCAGAAUGAACGCUGGCGGCGUGCUUAACACAUGCAAGUCGAACGAGAAAGGUUGUGCUUGCACGACCGAGUAGAGUGGCGCACGGGUGAGUAACAUGUGGAUAAUCUACCUUUGAAUCCGGGAUAACUAUUCGAAAGGGUAGCUAAUACCAGAUAAAGUCUUUUGGUUUUUGGA
rnacentral:rRNA from 1 species